rnacentral:rRNA from 1 species
AACGAACGCUGGCGGCAGGCUUAACACAUGCAAGUCGAGCGAGACCUUCGGGUCUAGCGGCGGACGGGUGAGUAACGCGUGGGAACGUGCCCUUCUCUACGGAAUAGCCCCGGGAAACUGGGAGUAAUACCGUAUACGCCCUUUGGGGGCAAGAUUUAUCGGAGAAGGAUCGGCCCGCGUUGGAUUAGGUAGUUGGUGAGGUAAUGGCACACCAAGCCGACGUUCCAUAGCUGGUUUGAGAGGAUGAUCAGCCACACUGGGACUGAGACACGGCCCAGACUCCGACGGGAGGCAGCAGUGGGGAAUCUUAGACAAGUGUGGCAACCCUGAUCUAGCCAUGCCGCGUAAGUAAUUAAGGCCUUAGGGUUGUAAAGCUCUUUCAGCUGGGAAGAUAAUGACGGUACCAGCAGAAGAAGCCCCGGCUAACUCCGUGCCAGCCGCCGCGGUAA